rnacentral:rRNA from 1 species
AAAGGAAUAGACGGGGGCCCGCACAAGCAGCGGAGCAUGUGGUUUAAUUCGAAGCAACGCGAAGAACCUUACCAGGUCUUGACAUCCAGUAAAACUUGUAGAGAUACAUCGUGACUUCGGUCAUACUGAGACAGGUGGUGCAUGGUUGUCGUCAGCUCGUGUCGUGAGAUGUUGGGUUAAGUCCCGCAACGAGCGCAACCCCUAUCGUCCGUUACUAACACGUUGUGGUGAGGACUCAGACGAGACCGCCGGGGACAACUCGGAGGAAGGUGGGGACGACGUCAAAUCAUCAUGCCCCUUACGACCUGGGCUACACACGUGCUACAAUGGGUACAACAAAGGGUAGCGAAGCCGCAAGGUGGAGCCAAUCCCAUAAAAGUACUCUCAGUUCAGAUUGUGGGCUGCAACCCGCCCACAUGAAGUUGGAGUUGCUAGUAAUCGCGAAUCAGCAUGUCGCGGUGAAUACGUUCCCGGGCCUUGUACACACCGCCCGU